rnacentral:lncRNA from 1 species
CAUUUAUAUAAAAAGAUGACUUACAACUUGAUUUUAUAAGACAGAUAACAUUUCACAGGUAAAAACUAUCCAGCUUUUAAACAUGCUUUUGUUCCAAUAUAUUAUUAUGCUAUGAUUUAUCUGAUUUCCAUAUAAUCAACAACUACAUCUCUGUCCCCAGACAAAACUAUUUAUAUAGUUAAAAAUAUCAUCAUAAUCAAAUUCU